rnacentral:tRNA from 1 species
UGGGGUAUAGCUCAGUUGGUAGAGUGCUUGUCUAGCAUGUACAAGGCACUGAGUUCAAUCCCCAGCACCACAA